rnacentral:lncRNA from 1 species
UUGUAAGUUGCUUGUCAGAUACAUGUAUUCAAAGGUUAAAUAGUAAGGCUAGGCUUAGACUUGGAAAUUUUACAUUGCAUUAAAUUUUCUUGUUCCUUGUUUUGGCUAUAAAUAGCCUUCUUCGGAUUGAAGCAAAAUGCACCUCAAGCAGCUUGUUUUCUUUACUGCUUUGUUUUUAUUUCUCUGCUCUCUACCUCCAUAGUUAGUGUUUAUAAUUGCCAGUAUUUUACAACACGUUAUCAGCACGAAGCCCUGCCGGAACUGAGAAGGUAUAAUUUUAUUUAAAUGUACAUAUAUAUAAGUAGACGUGGUUAUACCCUCUACUAAUAAUUUAUAUCUAUAACCGGAGUAGACGUGGUUACACCCUCUACUAAUAUUUUAACUACAUAUGGCCGGAGCACCGCCUAUCUACGGUACCAUAUAAUUUUGGGUAAUACCGAAAUAUAGUGGGAACCUUAAUUUAUAAAUUGCCUGCCUAUCGGAUAAUAAUUCUUUUGUGCCUAACUAAUUUAUGCAGGAUUUUCCACUUAAAUAUAUUAUUGGUUGGAGAUAACCUGUAUACGCAGACGUCCGUAUGGCGGGUGAAAAUCCAUUUGUCAUUUUAUAUAUAGAUCUAUUCAUAAUAUCGAUGAUAAUAAUGAUGUACACAUUUAUUAUUGCUUAUUUGUUAACGCACCAGAUUCAGUAGGAUUUUAUGUAAUAUUUACAUUGAUAGUUUAAGUUAAUAAUUUUGGUGUUAAAUUCAGAUUAUAAUGACAAAUCUUACAAACUUGUCGUUCGUUGCGUUGGACAUUUCUGGGGAGAAUUAUUUAUCGUGGGUACAAGAUGUAAAGUUGCACUUGGGUUCAAAGAAAUUAAGCAACACAAUAAAGGCAGAAAACACAUCCAC